AUGACUAUCUGUCAGAGUGUGAGUCCCCUUCUGACACGUCAACACCAGAGAGACAUGGCUUACUUGCAGGGCUAGGCGCAAGGAGUUUGCUGACAAGGCUUUUAACAAAAUAAUAACUAAUCAGACAUGUCCGUAUUUCAUGUAGCCAUUCUUGUAAGCAGAUCUCAGUGCAAAAAUGUUUAUGCAGAAGAUCAGAUUACAGGAUCAGCAAGAAGCCAGCUGGUCAAGGCCAUGCAACUCUUGGUGCAAGGUGAAUACAGAGGAAGCGGCAUUCUGUGCCUCAGAGAGGUUGGACUCAUUUAUACAGCCAUAACUCUGCAAUUUCUGCAACUCUUUCUCUGUGCAUCUUUUGUAUGAUACAGUCCCAACAUUGCCAAAAUUCUGUUUUCCCAAACCAUGCUAAUGAUGGCUUGGGUUUGCUGCCUCUCCUUCAGUAUGUCCCCAAGCUCCUACUGGUGUCACUGAAGCAAUUUGUGUACAAGAACAAAUGCCGACAAAUUGAUCACAGCACCCAGAAUCUGGUUCUUAUCCGUGAGUGUAGCAUGGAUUUUGGAGCACACUACAUGUUUUUAGGAUGAAGGACGAUCAGUACAUGGAAAGUGAAGAGUGUGCUGCAGCCACCCAGCACAGCAGAGGGCUGGCCUCACUGAGUAAGAUCUCAGGUUUCUAAAUGGCUUCUUCUACAAUAUCCCUGUGUUUAUCAUUCUCAGACAAGCUGGGAUUCACAUGAUGUUGACAACCAUAAUAUAUUCUCUGUAAAUUGCAAUUGGAUCUUUGAAUCUCCAGACAGUUGAGAAACUAGUUUCUCUCACCUGUUUAAUUAACCAUGUCAUGUUUUCCAAAGAGAAUUAAUUGUCUCAUUGAAGCAGUAAGGAGACUGAAAGGUUCAAAAGAAAAAUAAAUAUGAGUGUGUAGCAGAGUAAACAUUUAUCCAAUAAACAUUUUCACAGCUGAGUUUCAAA